UGUCAUUAAUCAUUCUACUGUAAUAUUUGACACAAUCAUUUGUGGGACAAAUGAGUAUCUAAUAUAAAAGCUGCAAUAAUACUGACUUAUGUGGAACUGCAGCUAAUUAUAACAUACUUGAAUUUUCAUCUUUCAUUAAAGACCUCUGUAAAAUGAACAACCUUUCACACUGCUGAAAUGACUGAGACAGGAAAGCAGAGGAGGGGUGAGGGAAGAAACAUCCAAGGACAACAGGAGAAAUCUCACCACCGUAAUGAGCCAAUAUCAGUUGUUGAUGGAUUCUUUUUAAUUGUGGGCUUUUUCUCUUUCAGAUGUCUUCUCUACCAAGCUGUAGGACUCAGCCUAUUUAGGUUGGAAUGUUUUGGUUGCCUUGAUUCAUGAGCAACUGACUCUGCCAUCUUCAGAGGUUAAACAUCGCUUCAGUGUUCACAGGUGGACUAGAAGAGAUAAAGGAGACAGGAUGCCAUUGCAGGAAGAUAUGUCUCACCGAGCAAGAGGAUGAGAGUUCACUAAAUAUUUUCUGCAAAGCAGCCUCUCCUUCCUCUCUCCCCACCGCGUCUUCUCUGUGCCUUUACUUGUAGACCUCUAGAACCUCAAUCUUUUGAGUUCUGUCUUGAAGUGUCACGUUCAGUGUUUGUGUUCAGUUCCUUGGAGAAGCAUCAGGCAUUGCUCUGCCUUGAGAUCGUGCCAGUGCUCAAAGCCUUGGAUCCAUCUGUAGAGAGAAAAUGAGCAGCAUGAAUUCCCAGUUUGUGUAUUAGCUAAAAAGGUGGCUAGUCUCUGCUAUUUCUGUAUUUGGGAUCCUCAGUCUGAAUGUGGGCUCAUUACUCUCUUGAAUUAUAUAUCAGAAGUAAUUUCUUUUCCUGGGAAGUGAAUCCUACAUACAUGCAAAUCUAUUCCAAAAUGGAUUCCUCCUGUCUCUCAGAUGUUGCUUUUGCCUUGGGUAGCCUUCAGAAAAACAAAUUGUCUGAUUAAGUUCACCAGUGGUUUUGCCCCCCAUCUAGAAAUGAGAGGAGAUCAUAGAUUUAGCACAUUUUCUGCAUGCUGAGAUUCAUAUGCAGAGUGUUGAAGGAGUAGCUGCUUUCCUUAGCAGCCACUCUCUUGUGCAGCCCUUAAGCAUCCUGGAUUGAUGCAUUUUUCAUUUUCCAAUGCAAUUGAACCUUUCUGUGCUGGUGCUUCAGUAAAGCUGUAAUAUCUCCAAACCUAACAGAAGGGUUAUUUUGAAGUUUUCAAUUACAGGAGUAUUAAUGCCAGGCUUGUUUCCUUAACAGUCUGUUACAUGCUGUAGGCAAGGACUGUGCUGUUUGAGGUGAAUACAGCACAAACUGCUGUGCAGAUCUGCCCACUUCAGACAUGUCAGUGGAAGCCAGAUGAAUGACACUGUUUCAGGCAUGGAUCAGAGCAGUGGGAAAAUGGCUAGCAAGAGUUAAGGGUUUAUUGGUAUAAUGAAGGGUAGAUUUUCUCCCUUCCCUGCCAAUCCCUUUUAAAGAAAUCUCUGAGCAGACACAAAGGCUUACUGUCCACCACCAUCUACUGUGUCACUUCUUUUCACAGAUUUCUGUGCUGUUUUUCUCACGUCUGCAGUUAUUCAAUUUAUCCCUGUUUGUAUGGUAUGACCCCACUUGCAAUGCAUCUGUUCUUAGUUAUUCUCCAUCCUUUCACUCUUCUAAACUUCACUGUAUUCCUCUAGAAAUCACCUUUUUGUUUUUAAGCUCCUGUCUGCCUCUCAAUGUUUCUGCAUUUUUUGUUACCAUCUUUCUAUGGAGCAUCUUUGUUCUCACUGUAUAUCUUAAGCCCAGUUUCUUCAGCAGUUUCCUUCAUCUCACUGCUGCUGGACUUCCUACAUCUUGUCCCCACUGUGUCAUUUUGAGUCAGAAAUGGAAGGCUGAGCUGCAAGGCUGCAAGAACCCUGGACUUCCACACAGAAGUGCUGUAGCCAAAUACAGAUGUCCAAUUCCAGACAAGGAAUUCAAGAGAAUGGUGGGAAUCUUCAAAGUUUGCUCACUUCUCCUGAACUUAUACCCCAGGCAGUGAAGUGAGCACUGAUGGCCUUGGCUCUUGAAGAGGAAUAUCCUGUGUUGCAGCCUCACUGCAGGACUUCAGCUCUAACACCCUGGUGUAUCUACACAGUUCAGGACUAGGAGCAGGUAGUGUCUGGUGAGCACCUGGUGUUGGCAGCAGGAUGAAGCCAUCAAGAUUAUCGUUCUUAUUGUUCAACAGCUGUAUUUUAAGAAAAAAAAAUAAAGAAGGACAUAUGUG